ensembl:lncRNA
GGGGUAACCACCAGACGAGACCUAGACAAGCUAGGGGGAUGAGCAGCCAAAGAUCUCUCUCUCCCGCACCUAACACUCAUGCCCAAGGAGGUCCCAACUUCAGGACUCGUGCGGUACCAAGAGACACAACUCCCACGCAGCCUCCACCCCUGACGGGGGUUGGGGCCCCCGGACGGGGCCACACUAGGCCCCUCUCUGCUCAACGACCAGAACACUCCCAACAGACUCGGAGGGAAGGCGCCCACCUUCCCUCCGAGGUAUUCUUCCGGGGUCCAGGAGCAGGCAAGAACCAGCUGUUCCAGAUCCAGGAGAGAAAGUGGUUUAGGACGAACAACCACAAGUUGAAGAACCCAGAAUGGACCUUUAACCACGUCUGCGGUCUCCGGCUGGGACCCCGAGGGUGGCCCCAGCUAAAGGAGGACUACCAACACAUCUGGCCCCUUAUCUCCAUCAGAGAAGCGGACCACCUGAUGCCGUACUCCACCCUUGUCGCCUCCACCCCGGAGGACACCAGGGGGAAUCCAGCCCUGGGCAUCAUACGCCUGUCCCGGAAGCUGUUUUAUCAUCUCCCCACAAGGAAGAGGUUCUGUAUCCUGGAAAGCAGCGAUGGACAACACAUCAUCUACUUUGAACAACCCCAAGCCCCUUACAUAUGGGGUUGGGCUCCGACUUCGGAUGUAUUUGGACCCCGCUGGCCUUGGCACACAAACACUCACGCACACACAACUACACAUACACACACCCACACACGAGUACACAUAUGCACAUACACUGGUACGGCAUAGGUGCAUGGGAGGAUGACGUGUGUCCCGAUAGGACUCACUACAUUGAUGCACCUAGCCGUUCCGGAAUCACUCCAGAAUCAUGCUGUGACACCAUGCUGUCAACAAGUUCACCGUACAUAUACAUGUGUGCCUUAUAUAUCUCAUGAUAAAGUGAAUUGCUUACUUUAUAUCUUCUUGUGUGCCUUAUAUAUCUUAUGAUAAAGUGAAUUGCUUACUUUAUAUCUUCUUGUGUGCCUUAUAUAUCUUAUGAUAAAGUGAAUUGCUUACUUUAUAUAUUCUUAUGUAGUAAAUUGUGUGCCUUAAAAUGUCUUAUCAUAGAGCCAACUGUUUACUUUAUAUACCCUUUUUAUGUAGUAAAUUGAAUGCUUAAACAUAUCUCCUCGUGGAGAAACAGUAGAGGAAUACAAAGAACGUGUGUCCCUUUUCAACACUCGACAUGUGAUAAUUUGUGAUAACAUUUGCAUGAUUUCAAGCUUCUUGUGUUGCCCCUCGGGCAAAAUAAGGGAAAGUACAUGGAAACGUAUAACAAAAGUGCUUUUGUUACCAAAAAGAGUUAAGCAGAGAGAUCUGCAAGGAGAGCCUGAGUGCUUGGGUGUUCUUCUUAUGUCUUAUGGUACCAACUGGUGUGGUGUUGUGCGCUGCCUACUCUCCAUCGGGAAAGGCUCAAUUAGGAUCCCCGCCUUAGAUUUAGUAUAGUUUGGUUAAAAUCUACUCUUUAUUUAAUCUUGUCCAUCUUGCAUCUAUCCUGUUCUUUUAUUGUCUGUUCUUUUCAAAUCUAUACUCAGUUGUAAAAGUUAUUGUGUUUAUUGGACCUAAAAAUAAAUCUACCUGACUACAUUUGUAGUAGGUUAUCUCAAUCGUUCGAGUCCUUUUCCCUGUCGACUCCUCGACAAAGGCAAAGCAGAACGACGCUCUCCCAGCUGAUCCCCUCAGCUGAUCCCCUCACGCCUCUGUCUCCCCUCCCAGACCACCGUCCAGCAGCUGUUCUCCGUGGCCAGGGAUGCCGGUGUGGUUCCAGACAUCUCCCUGGACCCCGUCCUCACCGCCUUCCUGUCCAUGGAGUCGCGUGCGUCCCUGCUGCACCAGUACGCCUCGCUGCAGAGGGGCAUGACGCCGGAGCAGCUGGCCUCCUUCCGCCACAACGUGAGCGGGGAGCUGGGUGGCAGCACCAGGGUCCGCCACGGAGGAGUGGGCGUGGUCGCCCUGGCCCUCUCCGUGCUCUUUGACCUCGUGGCCAAAAAGGUCCCGAAGCAGCAGGGGGCGACCGGGUGCCUAUUUGGGAUCCGGCGCUCCUCCAGGAUCGGCCGGAUGAUCCACAGCUACCUGCGUCUGAUCCCCGGCGUGGCCAACGACCCUGAGGGCAUGGCCGAGACCACAGAGCUCUACGACAACUGGCUGAAGCUGGAGCUGAUCGACCACUACGAGAGGAUGACCAACAAGAAGAGGAUGGGCUCCGAGGCCAUGAGGCAGUGGCUUGCUGGCGCCGCCGUCCACAUGCACAUGAGGAUCCACCAGGUGAGACUGAAAUCGGUGCCUCUUGGCUCGGCCGAGUCCCUGCGCCUCUCUUACAGGACGGCUUUCGCCCAGCUGGUGCAGGACUACGCAUCCUACCUCCGCCGAAACAUCCGGGAAACCCCGCCUUCAGGCACAUACAAACCCAACGCGGCCCAGCCAGGCGAGCGAACACCGGCGGCUACGACGUUCCAGCGCCUCACCGACCACGGGACCCGGAAGGAACCGAGUGAGACAGAGGGAGCAGGGGUAGCCGUCUGCGUGGGGGCGACGAUGGGUAACGUCAGCCUGGCCUGCCCAAUGAAUGACCUCAACGGGACCGGCCCCGACGGGCAUAACUCAACCACCGCAGCGAACCAAGCGGCAGCUUUUAGCGGAGGAUCCAAUGAGGUUACGGGGCAAACAGGUCCAAAACAGAUGGAUAAUAAUAAUGACGUGGGCCCUGAAAGAGGUGCAGCCAGUGUGUUGAGUGGUGUUGGCGGGGCUGCGCAGCCAACAGCCAGUGACGGUCUGUUAGUCAUUGAAGCCAUGAGGAACGUGAGUCAUGGUGUACGGCAUCGGGCCUGUGAGUCUCCAGUCAUAGAGCAAGCCCUGGCCACCCUCAUUUCAGAGGCGCAGGACCUGGAAGAGAGCAGGGACUUUUUCCUGUACCCCCGGCCACUGCUUGACAAUCUGCUCGGCCAGAGAGCUGACUUUGACUUGAAGAUAAGAUGGCGGAAAACUAUUUGAACUAUUCGCAAAGCUGUUAGGGAGAUUGAAAAGCAUGAGGGUAUUGGGACAGCCUCGGGGGGGGGUUAACCGCUGUAUUGGGAAUCUAAGUUGAGUGAUUGAGUGUGUUAAGACAAAAUGUGUGAAGGUUAACGUUAAGGUGAGUGAAGGAUAAAACAAAAUGCCACACAUUUUGUCUUAACCUUAAAGAAAUGAUCAACCAAACCAAUUCAAUAUAAAAUAAAGAUGAAGAUGAUGAUCUGAUUGUGUGCGUAUUUGUGUGUGUAUGUGUUUGUGCGUGUUUGUGUGUGUGUGUGUGUGUGUGUGUGUGUGUGUCCCUACAAUAGCAAACCCAUUUACAAAUGGCAAAGACAUUCCUACUGAAGUUAAGGUUUCAAGCACAGUUCAAGCCUUCAUUUUUGCAGGCUUAGACAAAAUACCAUGUUGCCCUUGUACUUAACCAGCAGUUUAGGCUAUCUAACCAUGGGUUGGAUAGCCAUGUGUGAUUGUUAUAAUCCAG